rnacentral:rRNA from 1 species
UCCAGCAGCUAGCUCUCUGCAGCUCUCACACGAUUGUCCACUGAAGCUAAGCAGGGCUGUUCCCGGUCAGUACCUGGAUGGGAGGCCACAUGGGAGUUAAGCUAGGUUGCUCCCGGAA